rnacentral:lncRNA from 1 species
CUCUCCCCACGAACCUCUCUGUCUCUCACGACUCCUCUCUCCCCCACGAACCCCUCUCCCUCGCCGCCGCCACCACCCACGCCGGCCGGUUCCGGCGAGCUCCGGCGGCGCGCAACACGCCCCCGAGCUCCCCUAGGUCCGCUCCACCUUCCCCUCCGUCCAGAAUCGGCGCUCCCGUCGUCCACCGACCCCGUGGCUAGCUAGGGUUUUGACCGCCACCCAUAACAUCGCCGGGAUCAGCCAGAUCCGGCGACGGCGAGGCCAGAGCUCGAUGGAUCCGUUACGGGCAUGGCGCAGGUACAUCCUUCCCCUCUUUCCUCGCCCGGAUCCACCCUCCCCACCUCACCUUCUCCUUUCCUUCCCUUGCUGCAGGUCACCUUGGUGCGGUCUGGACGGCGGCGACGACAGGAGGGCGCCGUCCUUCCUACUCGAGGAGGCGGAGGACGAGGGGCGCACCUAGCUGGCGGCCCUGUCCUGCCGAGCUCAAGCACGGCCACGACAACCCACCUCGGCAGGUAGCACCUCCAUCUCCUCCGCCUCCUUCCUCUGCUCACUACUGUUUUUUAUCAUUCCCCCACCGGCCAGAGCACAACGUACACACACACAGAGAGGAAAUCUCUAGUUAGCUUUUUUUUAGUUUGUCCUCUAAUUUGUUAUUGGCCAUAGGCUCGUGACAAUCUCUUUUUUUCUUUGUUGAUGCUUACGGUCAAUUCCAUAAUUUACCAGUGUAUAAGUAUAUAGCCCCUAGCCAUGUCUACUUCCAGUCCUACUCGGACACACAUAUUCACAUGUAUUCUGCACGUACUCGUGGAAUCACGUUCGAGGGAACUUUAGCACUACUUUACAAUGUACAUGAAGAGUCGGUUUACUCCAAUUGACAAGUAAAGUACAGUGGCCUAGUUGGAUCCCGUGACAAAUCCUGUGACAAAUUCGCAUCCUAGGCUUGAUUUCUGGCCGAGCCAGCUUUUACUUCAAUUGACUGCAUGAUUAAAGUAUAGAUAUAGAUAGUAUAUUUGUACUGGUAUGAUGAACAAGAGCUUCCAGUUAAUUACAUAAUAUUGGUGAUGUAGUUUUACUUGCUGUGUAUGCUUGCUUAAUUGUCCAUCGGGCCGCUCUCUUGUAUCGUUUGAGUGCGCCAAUUAGUUCGGCCAGCCUCUAUGAUUUAUUUUUUAGCUUCUGGAGUGCUUCUAUCUAUAUUUGUGAAAAAUUCAACCCAACAAAAAAAAAAUGUUAAUCAGUCCGCUCUCUCAAAGUUGAGCUUAGGCUGCUGCAUAUGAAUGAUUUUUUUUCUUAGUUUGGGUGCUAGGUACUGAUAGAGUUGGUGUAUCCAUAGAUAGCACACACUUGCGCAUUUUUUUUAGUUCUUCUGUUGCGAAUGAGAAUAACCAUCAUGGACCUCCUCUGUUUUCAAGCAGCUUGCUUCUCCAUGUAUGAUUUAUGCAGCAUAUACAUCUUGCUCCUCUUUUAUCAGUAGCAAUGGAAGUUGAUGAAAUUUAAGUGUCGUGUUGUUCUAGAGAUGCAGGGCGGGAGGGAUGUCCAUGGAUUGGACUAUAAGGAUUGGAUGCAAACCAAUGCACAUGAGGAGGAGAUAUGCAAGCCAGGCCAUGACCUAAAGGUCCGUGCCGUGAACCCCUUCCCCUUCCCGUGUAUAAUCAUGCUCAACAAAUACUUGAUAUGAUUUUGGUUGAUCUUCAAUUCAGCCUAGCUAGCUGUUGUAGUAUUUGCUUGUCUCCUUCCAAAUGUUGCCCAGUCCGUUGAGUUUCUAAUUGCUCCAGGUAGUACUGCUAUUUUUCUGCUCUGCGAUUUGGUGUGCAUGGUUCUAGGCUCCCAGUCUACCUCUUUUGUUGCUGUGAUGUCGAGCUCUGUUUUCUUUAUUAUGACAAGUGCAAAAUUAGUAGUGGGAAGUAAACUUUUGUUAACUACUUAACUUGUUGGCUGAACCAAUGGAACUACUGUUAUAUUUGAUUUGUUGCUCAACUAGUGCUGCAAUGAUGGAACCAAUGAUUGUGCAUGAUGCAUCCAUCCAUUUUAUCGGAGAGGCUGUGUUUUUUUCUUCUUGUGCUAAGAUUGAUAGCAUCACAUAUCCUAUGCUUUUGUUUCUCCAGUACAGCCUUGUGAGAUUGAUAUGUCUGACACCGUCCUUGAAUGGUUGUGCAAUAAUAAUGGUCCUAGCUAAUUACUAGUAUGCGCUGCUGCUAAAACAACUUGCUCCUCGUUUGAUUUCGAAGAUGCUGUUGCUGCUAAAGUCGCAACAACAACAGCCACGCUUUGGUUCCCCAAAAUUCAGAUGGCACUUGCAUCUCUACAUACACACACAUAUGAAUAUUCACCUCGGUUUGGUUUAGUUUGCAUGUGUACAUUUGCUUUAACUUUCACUGAAACUAUCUUGGUGACACUUGCAUCAAUGGUGUGUUCUGCCCUUGUAGAUGUCCUUGGAGAAGAUGGCCAUUGGAGUGUAGGGGAGGAACAACCUUGUCCUGCUCAAGGAGGAGGAGGAGGACCACCCAAGCUCGACGACGACACGGCAACAGGUAGCACUCGCCUCCCUCCCAAGGUGAAGGUCUGAUCCGCCUGUUUAGAUGGUCUGCUCUUGUAUUAUGCAUGUGAGGAGAGAAGAAGGCCAUUGGACUGAAUUAUAUUUGCAUGUGAGGUAGAUGCAGAGUAUAGAUUCACAAAAAUUCACCACAUGAGCAUACUACCUGUAUCCAAAUUCUGGAUACCACUUGCAUAUCCUGUAUGUACACAUGAAAAAGCACGACGGUUUGCUUUAGUUUGUAUGUGUCCAACUGUAUUUUACUUUGACUGAAACUAUCUAUCUUGGUGGCACUUGCAUCUCCUGUGCAUACAUACAUAUGAAUCAGCACCACACUUUUCUUCAGUUUGUAUGUGUCAAUUUUUUGGUUGAACUUUGACUGAAACCAACUGGAUGGCACCUCAAUCUAUACAUACACAUGAAUCAACACCACCCUUGGUUCAGUUUUGUAUGUGUCCACUUGUUUUUACUGUGACUAAAACCAACUCGAUGACACUUGCAUGGUCUGUAAAUACAUAUGAAUCAGCACCACACUUUGGUUCAGUUUAUAUGCGUCGGUUUUUUCGUUUUACUUUGACUGAAUAUUUAUGAGUAAGUAUCAUUAGUCACAAUCAGAGACCAAUUUCUUUCUCUUUGGAGCUUGCCUUGAACAACAAUUGAUGCUUGAUAGAUACAACUGAAAUUGGAGCAUCUCUGUCUAUAUGUAUUAGUAGCAUUGUUUGGUUCAAGCACCAACAUGACAAGUUAUCUUCAGCAAAAGCAAUAUUUUUUUCCUUUUUAGUUAGAUGCCCCUGUUCUAGGCGAUUUUCUUUUGGUAAUUCAGUAUAUAGAUUACAUAUUCAUCCUCAUGUGUAGGAUCUUCGGUUUAUUAUACUGACUGUAUGCCACCUCCAUCGUUGCAGCCUCGUCUCCCCCACCACCGCCCCUCGGCCUCCUCUAAUGUUGUUGCAGAUUCUUAGAAUGGAAAUGUUAUGUACAUCAAAAAUAUUCUCUAGUCUGAGUUUGCAAAUCCAUAGUUGUUGAAUCAUGUCUGUAUAAGCAUUUG